rnacentral:rRNA from 1 species
CAGUAGCCGCGGGAAUACGUAGGGCGCAAGCGUUAUCCGGAAUUAUUGGGCGUAAAGAGCUCGUAGGCGGUUUGUCGCGUCUGCCGUGAAAGUCCGGGGCUCAACCCCGGAUCUGCGGUGGGUACGGGCAGACUAGAGUGAUGUAGGGGAGACUGGAAUUCCUGGUGUAGCGGUGAAAUGCGUUGAGAUCGGAAAGAACACCAACGGCGAAAGCACUCUGCUGGGCCGACACUGACACUGAGAGACGAAAGCUAGGGGAGCAAAUGGGAUUAGAUACCCGCGUAGUCCCUGUCUCUUAUAA